UAACAAGGUCUCCGUAGGUGAACCUGCGGAGGGAUCAUUACACAAAUAUGAAGGCGGGCUGGAACCUCUCGGGGUUACAGCCUUGCUGAAUUAUUCACCCUUGUCUUUUGCGUACUUCUUGUUUCCUUGGUGGGUUCGCCCACCACUAGGACAAACAUAAACCUUUUGUAAUUGCAAUCAGCGUCAGUAACAAAUUAAUAAUUACAACUUUCAACAACGGAUCUCUUGGUUCUGGCAUCGAUGAAGAACGCAGCGAAAUGCGAUAAGUAGUGUGAAUUGCAGAAUUCAGUGAAUCAUCGAAUCUUUGAACGCACAUUGCGCCCUUUGGUAUUCCAAAGGGCAUGCCUGUUCGAGCGUCAUUUGUACCCUCAAGCUUUGCUUGGUGUUGGGCGUCUUGUCUCUAGCUUUGCUGGAGACUCGCCUUAAAGUAAUUGGCAGCCGGCCUACUGGUUUCGGAGCGCAGCACAAGUCGCACUCUCUAUCAGCAAAGGUCUAGCAUCCAUUAAGCCUUUUUUUCAACUUUUGACCUCGGAUCAGGUAGGGAUACCCGCUGAACUUAAGCAUAUCAAUAAGCGGAGG
rnacentral:rRNA from 2 species